AACUCAUUCAGAAAUUUGUGAGUUGGCAACCAGUUGGACAGUGUAUGUGUGUGUCAGGUUGGCUGUUUUUCCUGUAUAUUCAACUGGUGUGAGUAUUAUAAUUUUAUGUUAUGUCUUA